UACAGAGGCCUCAAGCGUUGUUCGGAAUUACUGGGCGUAAAGGGAGUGUAGGUGGUGAUGCAAGUCAGAUGUGAAAGCCCUGGGCUUAACCCGGGAAUUGCAUUUAAUACUGCGUUGCUGGAGUGCAGGAGAGGUGAGAGGAAUUCCUGGUGUAGGGGUGAAAUCCGUAGAUAUCAGGAGGAAUACCAAUGGCGUAGGCAUCUCGCUGGCCUGUAACUGACACUGAGACUCGAAAGCAUGGGUAGCAAACAGG
rnacentral:rRNA from 1 species